rnacentral:lncRNA from 1 species
UCCAUUCAAAAAAAUAAAUGAAAAACCCAAACUUCCUAUAAAGCAAACCCACAAAAAUUUUAGCAAAAAUACUAGAGAAAUAAAACCACAAAUUAAUCCGUAUUCCAAAAUCAAAUUCCACUAAAAUAUCUAGGGAUUCACAAGCAUUACACUCACCUGGAGAACCAAACAUGAACGAAAUAUUGAAUUAUCGUGAUCCUUCUUCAAGGCCAAAAGCUUGAUCCCCUGAACAAAAUAGGGCCCACCCUAGAUCAAGAUCAGGCCUAUACAUAUUCUUGAUGGACUCAUCUGUCUCCCCUUUCAGCCACAAGCCUGCGUCAUAAUCCUCUUUGAGUUUGUCCACUCUCUUUUUAAGCUCAAUCUCAGACCCAUCAAUCCCCAAGACCUUUCUAAAAGCCCUAUGAGAACCAAGGUUUCAAAGAGCUAACCUUUGUUGGAUUUGAAGGCUUGUAAAAGAGUCCCAAUCUUGGCUGAAAAUUUCAAGUUUUUGGCUAGAAAAAUAACCGGAAUAAGGGAAAUAGGAUUUGGAGGAGAAAUGCGGAGGAAUUGGGAUAAGAAAGUGGCAAGGAGUAGAAGAGGUCUUGUAUGAAAUUCUUAGAGAUCAGCCUCUCUUUUUUUUUUCUUUUCGAUCUGUAUUUGGGAGAGAGGUCUCGAACAAUCGGAGGAUAUGUCGAGAGAGAGAGAGAGAGUAUGUGAGAGAGAGGGACCUCGCAUUGAACACUUGGAGGUCAAUUUUUUUUCUCUUCUUACAUGUAAAGAGGGAGCAUAUAUGGGUCCAUGUGUGUGUAAGAGGGAGACUGCACAUCAAACACUUGGAGUCCAUCUUCUUCUUCUUCUUUUCAUAUGUAGAGAGAGCACAUGGGCUCGAGAGAGAGAGAGAGAAAAGGGCAAUACCAUGCUUUAUUUUUGUUUUGGUGGAUU